CUUGAGCUCAGGAGGUAGAGGCUGCAAUGAGCUGUGACCGCACCACUGCACUCCAGCCUGAGCCACAGAACGAGAUCCUGUCUCAACCAACCAAACAAAGAGAUGAAGCCUAACUCCCCUCCAGCGGAAUCUGGGCAGGCUUGUCCCUCACUUGCAACCAGUAGAAUGCGGCGUGGCACGGCUUGCCUUUCGAGGCUAGACCCUGAAGGGCCCUGCAGCUUCCCCCUUGUGAGCUGGGACCCCUGCCUUUGGAGCUCGGAGGCCGCCACGUUGUGAGGAAGCUCAUGCCACACUUAGGGGCCACGAGGAGGUGCCCUAAGAGAGGACCCCACCAUCCUUCCUGAAAGGCAUUUUAGGGGCCACAACAGUCUGAUGAUUUUCCCACAAAGAGUACGAUGGGAUGCACCCCAGUUGAUGAAGAGGCUGCCUCUACCACCCAGUAUCCC